CGAGCAGGUGCGAAAGCAGGUCAUAGUGAUCCGGUGGUUCUGAAUGGAAGGGCCAUCGCUCAACGGAUAAAAGGUACUCCGGGGAUAACAGGCUGAUACCGCCCAAGAGUUCAUAUCGACGGCGGUGUUUGGCACCUCGAUGUCGGCUCAUCACAUCCUGGGGCUGAAGUAGGUCCCAAGGGUAUGGCUGUUCGCCAUUUAAAGUGGUACGCGAGCUGGGUUUAGAACGUCGUGAGACAGUUCGGUCCCUAUCUGCCGUGGGCGCUGGAGAACUGAGGGGGGCUGCUCCUAGUACGAGAGGACCGGAGUGGACGCAUCACUGGUGUUCGGGUUGUCAU
rnacentral:rRNA from 1 species